ACUUGGGGGCAAAGGUCACAUGAGGGGAGAAGUGGACUUAAGAGUCUCAACUCAGCUAUGGCUAUGGGGCUGGCAGAGCUCACAGCAAGCUCCUUGCUGCCAGCUGAACAGUGCCCCUGCAACCUAGCGCCCAGCCUGUGUGCCUCCCACCUGCCCUGGCAGGGCGGCCUAGCAGAAGGCUCUAGGGGCCAUUUCUCUGCUGCCAGGUGCCCACCUGCAGGGCUGUCUGCACAUGUCUCUACACCCUCAAUCUACAGGGACAUCUGUGAGGACUGACCAUGGUGGGGUGAGUCUGCAGGAAUGGAACCCCCAGCCAGCUGCCCACUUCUUCCUGUCUCAUGUCUGGCAGACCUGCUGCCCCUUUAGCUCCGGGUGGGUGGGAGACAAGCCUUAGGAGCAAAGGUAGGAGGUUACAGUGGCUGGGGGGCUUCUCUAGGAUUCUGAAGCCUCUACACUGCCUUGCCUCCUCCCAGAGGGCACUGGAGGUGGAAGGACCUUCAAGACCAGAGACUCAGGGUACCUAUCGGUUUAGAGGGGGCACAUGUGGGGCUAGGGACAGAGCUGGGAGUUGCUCCAAGAGGCAGCUCCAGAAGGAAACUGUUCCUUCCCUUGCCUCCACCCUGUGCCCACCUCUGAGCUGCCUGCCCCAGUGAGCGUCCCGAGCUGCUGCUCUAUCCCUGGGCUGGCACGGAAUAUCAAUUUGUCUCGUUAAGCUGAAAGUCUGCACUGCACCAAAAUCAGAACCCAGCCGUGCAGAGGGGCAGCAGGAGGGAGAGAGCUGGGAGUGCUAGUGGCAGGGACCCCGCAGGAGGACCAUGCUGAGACCCCUUCAUUCUUUUCCCUUCUGUCCCAUCAGAGGGUCCUGUGCUUGGCCAGGCUGAGAAACUAAGGAUAACAAGGGCUAGGGGGACAUUCAAGACCCCGGGCUCCACUGGGGCAGGGGUGUGGCUCAGAGGCUAGGGAAGGCUCUCUUCUGGGAUUCUGACAGAGCAUCUCAGACACACCAACAGCUCAGGGUUGGGGGCUCCCAAAGCAGCCUCACCUUUCCCUCAUCUUGGGGGGUACACAUGGGGGAACCCUAUCUUCUUGGGAGUAUAGUUGGGGGCAUUCUAUCCACUCCUCUGAAUAGGCUUCUAAGUCACCACUGGCCCUAAUCAGUGUCCAUCCCAGGGGCCAAAGCCAGGCCAGGAGUCCCCCUUUCCAAGAGCCUACAGGCAGCCCUACUCUGCCAAAUGCAGCCAAGUACAGGUGUUCUGAGAGGGUUGGAGUGAGAGCGGGCAAAGAAAGGCGGAGUGUGAAAGGCCCAUUGCAAUCCACAUCUGGUCUGAGCACGCCUGUCUGUGCUGGGGACCCCACCAUUGUCACAUCAACAUCUUUGGGGGCCGAUCACUUUCCCAGUUAUAAAACAGACAGCCCCUGCUAUGAGCCACCCACUUUGACAGCGAACACCCCUUCUGUGUCUAGCACACUCUGCAGCUUGUAAAGGCCACCUAUAAAACAGUAGAUCAUUUGAUCCUCACAACUACUGCUGGGUGGCUGCUGUGAGCACCCAAGGUUCAGAUGAGGAGGUUAUGUGUAGUUCAGAGGGGUGCAGUGGCCAGGACAAGGUGGCACAGCCAGUAAGAGGUAAACCAAACCUGUGACUGAGGCAUGAGAGUCCAGGCCCAGGGACCCCCACGUGUGAAGGCUAUUGGGAGCAUGGGCUGACUGAAUGUCUACAACACUUGUCCACUUGGAAGUCCUGAGUCUUGCCUGCCUGCUGGCACCUGUUUGGGGUGGUCUGGGCCCUCACCAACACCCUGGGCAGUCAUGGAUUUUGGUUUCCAGAAUCUAAGAUUGUAAUUGGUACCCAGCCCAGCUCUUGUCUUCUUGGCAUUCCAGGCCCUGUGUCCUUCAGUUUCUGCAUCCACCCACCAUUGACUGGAUGUUUCCUAUCUCCUGAAGCAGCUCAAAUGUUGAAUAGCAUAGUUUGAAGGUUUUUUCCUUGCACCUAUAUGUCACUUCUAGACACAUAAACUCCUAUUCAUCCUUCAAAGCCCAACUCAUACUUCCUUUUCCUGGAUAGUUAGUCUUCCUGAUUCCAGAAACUAAGUUGGUUCAUGCCUCUAGAUUCUAGCUCUAACUACUCUGUAUUGUGAUGGUCUACAUGCCUUUCUCUCUCACUGGGGUAUGACCACGUCACACAUAUCUUCACAAUCCCGGGUCUCAGGUCCCAGCACAUGGUAGGUGACGUAGUAAAGACUUGAAUGAGUCUGCUGCUGUGUAAAUUUGAUUUAUCAAGUACAGAACCAGAAGGACUCUCAAAACCUCCAAUUCAAUCCUCCCAUUUUACAGUUGAGCAAACUGAGCCUUCAAGAAAAAAUGUAAAUGGCUUGCCUAAGGUCACUCUUGAGGGUGGAACCUGGCCAUAGACAUCCAUCACCUGCUCCGCCCUGUCCCUGGUGCCACCCCUUCCUGCAGCAGACACACCUGCGUCAUCUGGCCUGUCCUUCCAGGAUAUAUUGGGGGCGGGGGCAGGGGUUUUGGAAGGGCAGAGGUGUUGUGAAAUUAGACAAACAAUGGCCCUAGUGUUGUAACUCCAGGAAGGUUGGAAACGUCAGGUCAGGGUCACCCACAGGGAAGAGGGGGAAAGAGGCAGGAGGCCAGCUGGGAGGAUUACUGAUGGCCUCUGCCUCCAACAUGAUUUGGCUUAUGGUGGACAUGGAUUGAGGCUCAGGGUUGGAGAAAGGUACCAGAAAUAGAGGAGGGGAGGGGAGAGCCACUGGAGCCUUAUUUUCCAACAAUGUUUAGUUGGCCAGACCACAUGUUCUCCCAUGGGGAGAGGUCCUAGGACCCCCCAGAGGGCGAGUGGUGAGGGUCAGUCUGCCCAGGGAUAGGGGUAGGGAGCUUGGUCCAGUCUGCCAAAGGCACUCUGCACAAAAGAGACAGAUGAAGUAGGUCCAGACGGGUCAGAGGGAGGAGAAUUGAAUGUAACCAGAGGCCAGCUGUGUCCUUUCUAUAUGACAUGGGCUCCCUCUUGCCUUUCCUCUUUCUGGAAAGUGUGAAUGUGGGUUACCUGCACUUGCCUCACCUGGCUUAGGGGCUUUAGACACCUAGGUAGGGGUCCUGGGCCAGCUCUCCGGUCACUGCUGCCACAAAGAGAUGCUAAUUGGGCCCCUUAGGGCACAGGAAGCUAUUUCCAAAGGCCCAUCACAGUCAUGUCUCCUCUGACUUCCACAGAUCACCUUCAAAAGAGACUGGGCUCCUACCCAUUUUACAGAAGAGAAAAUUGAGACCUGGCGGCUUCAGGGACUUGCUUAAAAGUUACAGAGCCAGUGAGAACAGGAGUGAGAUCAGAAUGCAGAUCUAUUCCACUCAGACCCUAUGCCCUUCUCUCUGUCUCUGCCCAAAGUUACUCAAGUUUGAGGUAAAUAGCUCAGGGACUCCUAGGCCCAUGACUUUGAGAGGCCAUGGACUGUGGAUCCAGAGGACCACAUAGGCUUGCUUGGUCCAAAUCUCCCCUAUAGCCAUGUUGGGUUCCCAUACCCACUCCCCCACCACCACAGCCCAAAUUCUCUCAGCUAACCAGACCUGAGGUUUUGAGGCCACACAGACCUGGGUUCAACUCCUGGCUCUCUCACUUACCUGCUGUGUGACCUUGGGCAAGUGACUCAACCUCCCCCAGUUUUCUCAUCUGCUAAAUGGGGAUGAUAUUAUUUAUUUGGCAGGAUUGCAAGUUAAAGGAGAUGGCAGCUGUUAUGAACAGAAGAAACAGAAGGGGUGGAACUCUCUGGGAGAUCCCUGGGAAAGUGUUGGAGUGGGUCUCUUGCAGCUCCUCUUACUGAUACGUGAUGCUCUCAGAUGCCACCUGUGGGGCGGGGCUAGGCUGAUCUCCAGGAUGCAGUCAGGCCCAGGGUAGCCCUGCUGAGAUUUGAGCCCAAGUCUUCAGUUCCCUGUUCCUCCUAUUUUUGCCCUCAGUAAGGAAGAUGCAGACCUGGCUUGUGGUGAAUUGCCCCCAGACACCAUUCUCAUGGACAUCUUACUAUGCACCAGGCCAUCUGUGCAGAGGGCUGACUCCCUGAAGGAAGAAGAGGAGGGAAGAGGAAACCGAAGGUCAUGGGAGGGGGAGAUGAAUCCAGGAAUAUCAGGAGAAGAAAGAAGGGAGCCUGUCGUUUACUGAGCAUCUACUGUGUGCCAGGCUCUUAACACAUGAGUUAUCACUUCUCGCGACCAACCCAGGAGAGUCUGAUGUUCACAGUCUUCAACCUAGAGGAGAGGAAAUAAGCCCAGAGAGGGUGGGUGGCUGGCUCGAGGGUGCACAGCCAUGUGGCACAGGACUGCAAAUGUGGCAUUGUCUUUCCCAAAGCCUGUGAUCUCUCACUUGUGGUCCUGCUGAGGAGGCUCCCAGCAGGGAAAGAGGGUUCGGGGGCAGAAGGCUGAUGACUGAGACUUGGGAGGCGUGGGUAGCCAAUAGCACUGGGACCACAACCAAUAAGAGGUUAGGGAAGAGAGUGUGGCCACCCCAGCUAUCUGUGUGUCAGCCCAAGUAGCUGGAUGCCACAGGGGCCACAUUAGCUACCUCUACUAAGCCCUUUCCUGCAUGCUAAUGUGCACACUUAAGUACACACUUAAAUACUCACAGUACACCCACCUCUGCCCCCAGUGGCUCUGCUAUGUGGACAGCAUCACCUCCAGUUCAUGGAUGAAGGAACUGAGCUUUGGAGAGUGGAGAAAACAGGCCCAGGGUUUCAAAGCCAGAGGAGGAAUAAGCACAUGGCUCUUUCCUGGAGUGCUUGCUCCCAUGAGGAUUCCAGGCGGCCAGGGUUCUCAGUGCAAGCACACUUCCUUCACACUCAAGCCCACUCUCUGGGACUGAAAGGGCUCAUCUGCCUCUCAGGCCCCCAUUGUACCCCAGGUGCAAGGGAGCAGGCGGAGGUGCAAAGAGCUUAGGAGCUGGAGACUGAAGGACUUUGCUCAAAUCCCUGCUUCAUCCUGAUGGGUUGUAUGACUUUGGGCAAGACCCUCAACCUCUCUGGUCUCAGGCUUUUCAUCUGUAAAAUGGGCAUGAUGCCAUACACUU